UACAGAGGGUGCAAACGUUGCUCGGAAUCAUUGGGCGUAAAGCGCACGUAGGCGGCCCAGCAAGUGGGGAGUGAAAGCCCUCGGCUUAACCGAGGAAGUGCUUUCCAAACUACUGGGCUUUGAAUACUGGAGAGGGUCGCGGAAUUUCCCGGUGUAGAGGUUAAAAUUCGUAGAUAUCGGAAGGAACACCAGUGGCGAAAGCGGCUUCCUGGUCCAGCACCGACGUCAGGCACGAAAGCGUGGGGAGCAAACAGGG
rnacentral:rRNA from 1 species